CCUACGGGUGGCAGCAGUGGGGAAUAUUGGACAAUGGGCGAAAGCCUGAUCCAGCCAUGCCGCGUGUGUGAAGAAGGCCUUCGGGUUGUAAAGCACUUUCAGUGGGGAAGAAAGCCUUGGGGCUAAUACCCUCGAGGAAGGACAUCACCCACAGAAGAAGCACCGGCUAACUCCGUGCCAGCAGCCGCGGUAAUACGGAGGGUGCGAGCGUUAAUCGGAAUUACUGGGCGUAAAGCGCGCGUAGGCGGUCUGAUAAGCCGGUUGUGAAAGCCCCGGGCUCAACCUGGGAACGGCAUCCGGAACUGUCAGGCUAGAGUGCAGGAGAGGAAGGUAGAAUUCCCGGUGUAGCGGUGAAAUGCGUAGAGAUCGGGGGGAAUACCAGUGGCGAAGGCGGCCUUCUGGACUGACACUGACGCUGAGGUGCGAAAGCGUGGGUAGCAAACAGGAUUAGAUACCCCAGUAGUC
rnacentral:rRNA from 1 species